rnacentral:tRNA from 1 species
GCGAAAGUAACUCACGGGUAGAGUGUCACCUUGCCAAGUGGAAGUCGCGGGUUCAAAUCCCGUCUUUCGCU